UACGUAGGUGACAAGCGUUGUCCGGAUUUACUGGGCGUAAAGAGCGCGCAGGCGGUCGAUCAAGUCGAGUGUGAAAGCCCCUGGCUCAACUGGGGAGGGUCAUUCGAUACUGAUCGACUCGAAGGCAGGAGAGGGUAGUGGAAUUCCCGGUGUAGUGGUGAAAUGCGUAGAUAUCGGGAGGAACACCAGUGGCGAAGGCGACUACCUGGCCUGUUCUUGACGCUGAGGCGCGGAAAGCUAGGGGAGCAAACGGGG
rnacentral:rRNA from 1 species